GCCUGUUACAUCUGCGCCAGCAUCCAGCAAUGAAUGGAAAUCCAAACCAUCUCCUGAUCCUGUGAGAGGCCCAAGGUGUGUUGCGAGGUUUGACUUUGAGGGAGAGCAGAGUGAUGAGCUCUCAUUCUCUGAAGGUGAUGUGAUUCGGCUUAAAGAAUAUGUGGGAGAGGAGUGGGCUCGUGGGGAAGUGAAUGGCCAUGUUGGUAUUUUCCCCCUCAACUUUGUGGAAGUGCUUGAGGAUCUUCCUCCAGUCCCAGUGCAGAAAUCUCUUCUGAAUAAGAUUGCACUGCCUGGAAUGGCCGGUUCACC